rnacentral:lncRNA from 1 species
AAUGACUUAUCUGCUCUUGGAUUACUUAGACGCAAGGAAAAAGUAAGGGCCAAUGGUAGAAUAUUAUCAAAACUGAACAUUCUCAAGUCGUUGUACUAGAGAUCGGAGGGUGAGGUUUAAGUAUGCCACAUGCGAAGACAGGUUGUGUAAAGCUAAAGAAAGAAGUUCUACGUUCAAAUAAGGGAUUCCAUUACUAACUAAAACAUUGCUCCCAGAAAUAAAAUUAAUGACUUGCUACCGCCUGCGCAUGCCACGACCGCCACGACCACCACGCAUGCCCCCCAUGCCUCUGCCCAUACCCCUGCCGCCCAUAGCUUCACCUUGAGCAGCCUCC